GACGUAGGAUGCAAGCGUUGUCCGGAAUUAUUGGGCGUAAAGAGCUCGUAGGCGGUUUGUCGCGUCUGCCGUGAAAGUCCGGGGCUCAACUCCGGAUCUGCGGUAGGUACGGGCAGACUAGAGUGAUGUAGGGGAGACUGGAAUUCCUGGUGUAGCGGUGAAAUGCGCAGAUAUCAGGAGGAACACCGAUGGCGAAGGCAGGUCUCUGGGCAUUAACUGACGCUGAGGAGCGAAAGCAUGGGGAGCGAACAGG
rnacentral:rRNA from 1 species